rnacentral:rRNA from 1 species
UAAGCAAUUAUACAGCGAAACUGCGAAUGGCUCAUUAUAUAAGUUAUCGUUUAUUUGAUAGUGCCUUACUACUUGGAUAACCGUGGUAAUUCUAGAGCUAAUACAUGCUAAAAGACCCGACUUUGGAAGGGUUGUAUUUAUUAGAUUAAAAGCCAAUGCCCUCUGGGCUCACUGGUGAAUCAUGGUAACUUCGCGAAUCGCAUGGCCUAGUGCCGGCGAUGGCUCAUUCAAAUUUCUUCCCUAUCAACUUUCGAUGUUUGGGUAGUGGCCAAACAUGGUUGCAACGGGUAACGGAGGGUUAGGGCUCGACCCCGGAGAAGGAGCCUGAGAAACGGCUACUACAUCCAAGGAAGGCAGCAGGCGCGCAAAUUACCCAAUCCCGACACGGGGAGGUAGUGACAAUAAAUACUGAUACAGGGCUCUUUUGGGUCUUGUAAUUGGAAUGAGUACAAUUUAAAUCCCUUAACGAGGAACAAUUAGAGGGCAAGUCUGGUGCCAGCAGCCGCGGUAAUUCCAGCUCUAAUAGCGUAUAUUAAAGUUGUUGUGGUUAAAAAGCUCGUAGUUGAACCUUGGGCCUGGCUGGCAGGUCCGCCUCACCGCGUGCACUUCGCCGGCCGGGCCUUUCCCUCUGUGGAACCCUAUGCCCUUCACUGGGUGUAGUGGGGAAACAGGACGUUUACUUUGAAAAAAUUAGAGUGCUCCAGGCAGGCCUAUGCUCGAAUACAUUAGCAUGGAAUAAUAAAAUAGGACGCGCGGUUCUAUUUUGUUGGUUUCUAGGACCGCCGUAAUGAUUAAUAGGGACAGUCGGGGGCAUCAGUAUUCAAUUGUCAGAGGUGAAAUUCUUGGAUUUAUUGAAGACUAACUACUGCGAAAGCAUUUGCCAAGGAUGUUUUCAUUAAUCAGGAACGAAAGUUAGGGGAUCGAAGACGAUCAGAUACCGUCGUAGUCUUAACCAUAAACUAUGCCGACUAGGGAUCGGACGACAGUCGUUUGUGACUCGUUCGGCACCUUACGAGAAAUCAAAGUGCUUGGGCUCCAGGGGGAG